UAUCUCUGUAGAGUCUGCAUAUCAAUAAGCGGAGGAAAAGAAACUAACUAGGAUUCCCUCAGUAACGGCGAGUGAAGCGGGAAGAGCUCAAAUUUGAAAUCUUCAAGGUUUUACCUUGACGAAUUGUAGUUUAAAGAAGUGUUUUCUGUUGAAGUUUCGGUAAAAGUUCUUUGGAAUAGGACAUCAUAGAGGGUGAGAAUCCCGUAUUUGACCGUUAUUUUCAGCUGUGUGAUACACUUUCAAAGAGUCGGAUUGUUUGGGAAUGCAGUCCAAAAUGGGUGGUAAAUUUCAUCUAAAGCUAAAUAUUGGCGAGAGACCGAUAGCGAACAAGUACCGUGAGGGAAAGAUGAAAAGAACUUUGAAAAGAGAGUUAAACAGUACGUGAAAUUGUCAAAAGGGAAGCGUUUGACACCAGUGUUGUUUUCUCGAAAAUCAAUUAAAAAUGGCUUGAUUUUGUGUUGUAUUGACCUUAAAAGCUUUCUUCACUUUUUUCAUGUCUUUUUUAAUGCACUUUUCGUUUAACAAGUCAACAUCAGUUUCUUUUGUCGUAAAAAGGUCAUUGGAAGGUGGCUUUCUUUUCGGAGAAAGUGUUUAUAGCCUUUGACUCCUGCAAUCGGAGAGACUGAGGUCUGCAGCGUAGAUCCUUCUUGGAUUAGAUUCAUUUGUGCUAAGUUAUAGCUUUUCAUAGACAACUUGUUGACUAUGUUUAGUCUUGUAGCUUACUCGCUUAUGUAAUUUUACCUACGCUUAGGAUGUUGAUCUCUCACAGUCGAGC
rnacentral:rRNA from 1 species